AAGAGACAGGGUCUCACUAUGUUGCCCCAGUUGGCCUUGAACUGCUGGACUCAAGGGAUCCUCCUGCCUCAGCAUCCUGAGUAGCUGGGUCUACAGGCAUGAACCACCAGGCCCAGAACCCUGUGUGAGUGUUCCUUCUUCCCCUCUCUUCAUGUUCACAGCAUAUCUUAUUAUUGUUAAUAUUGGAAGUCAACACACCAGGGAUCAUCAUCAGACUCAUGUUCUUUAUUGAGAAACAAGCUUUUGAAAGCCAUAUGCGAUCUGUCUGCCCUGAAGUGACUACUUCAUCUCCAACCAGCCCUUGGCUGGCAAAGUCAGGAAGACUCCAGUCUUUCCUGAAGACCAGGGGAGAGUUUAUAACUCUAGCAUCAAAGUCAGCAGCUGUUCAUCUAGAAGACAACUUCCCAAAAGUCAAUGUCUUUGCCUGAAGCUUUUCUUCCCAGAUCUCCUAUGGUGAAACAACCAAAGGGAAGAAGAAUGUGGGCAGCCCUCAGUAAGACAGGAGAUGAGCAUCAACAUUGACCCAUUCUUUCUUCCAGUCCUCGAUGCUUACCUUGUACAUUCUUCUUUGUCUUCCGACUCAGUGCCUUUAGGGUAUGGACGUUGCCUGGUCCCACACAAGCCAAGCAUCAAAUGGAUGGCUCAACAAGGAGGCCAAGACCAGCUAAUGUUUAGUGAGCACCCAAAGGGGCCACACUGGAGAGAACAGCACAGCUCCGUCUGAGAAACAGCUGUUCCUUCCUGCCUGAGAGGCAGAGUGAUAGAAGAUAUCACAGAAUGUUGCUGCUUUGUCUUCCACCCUGAACCCUCCACGACCUCCCUGUAGCUUCCUGAUUUUAAGUAGACAUCAAAUGAUUCUUAAUCCUUUCUGGGUCUUGGAACGAUUUGAAAAUUGUCAACAGUACUGGGAUUCCCAGAAUAAUGCACAUAUGUACAUACUCAGAUAUUCCCCAAGCCCUGGAUAUAAUUUUAAGGGAGUUCACAGACCACACUCCCCCACCCAUCUGUGGACCCAGAUUCUGUGGGUUCGAGAUUCAGAAGCCCUGUUUCUAGGCAGGCCCUCUGUUGCUAACGCCCCUCGAGAACAUCACCCUAGAUGAUUAUCCCUUCUUCCUCCACUCCUUCCCACCUUCUCCAACUGCUGGGUUUCAGCACAAAGAUUGCUUGCCAGUUAAACUGGCACCAUGGACCGCACAGUAGUUGUUUCUUGGGUCUAGAGGAAACAGCCAGAUUCCUUUAAGUAAAUCAUGUCUUAGUUAUUGAUUGUCUCCACUUGAAGUUUUUGACAAUCUCUGAUUAAAUCAUAAACCACUGCAUCCUCCAUCUCCUGCUUCAGUCUCUCAAACCAAAUGUCAGUUUCUUUGUAGCCCUUCAAUUCAAAGUUUGCAAAUUCUGGAUCUAGGCUUCAUUCUUUCACUCAUUUAAGCACUAACAUCUAUUGCAUAACUAUUAAAUGCCAGGCACUGUUCUAGGCAUCAGGGACAUAAUAAUGUACAAAACAGCCUUCAUGUUAAUUUACUUAUUCUCUUCCAAAAUGCUAAUUCUAACCAGUGCUGCUUUAAAAACCAUUAUAAUUAUUACAAUAACUGCCUAAGUUAUAAGCUCUAUUCUAAAUAGUUAAUAUGUAUUAUUAUUUUUCAGAAAACUCUAUGAGGUAGGUAUUAUUAUUAUCAUUCUUAUUUUACAGAAGUGAAAAUCAUAAAGGUUAAGUAAUUUGCCCCAGCUAGAGAGGGACAAAGACAAGAUGUAACAUGAGGCAGUUUGACUAAAUUACUUACUGCUAAAUUCAGCAUCCCUGAUUAUGGUUACAAAGCAAGAUUAGAUUCUUUAGCACUGUUGAAAUGUGAACAGAUGUAUUACAAAAAAAAUUGUCUAGCAAUGUGCAUAUAUUUAAGUAGCCCCGAGGGUUAUCUGUGGUUGCCAAGAGGCUCAAAGUCAGCAUGAAUAUAAUCAGGAGGCACUGAUGACUUUGUUACCCAGAGAUGGUUUGGGGAUCCGUCAGGAGUAUCAUGCACAUGGACAGGAAUGUGAGGCAGAGGAUUACUGGAGUUGAGCUGGCAGUCAAGGGACAAACAAGCCAAAAGUUAUAAAAAACAUAUUUUAAAAUUAUAUAUUUUUAAAUAAUCGUGAUGGACAGAAGAAAUUGUAAUCCUGAGGCAAUAACUGAGAAAGUAUUGAGUAGGUAAUAAAAGGCCUGAGUAGGCUGAAAUAAAUGUUUUAAAAUAGCAGUUUCCUGUAUCCAUGGCUUCUAAAGACCUCCGUUAGUGCGAAUAGUAACUCAAAUGAAAUUUAGAACCAAGAAUAAUUGAGAGGGGUAGCUCACAGGCAGGAGUGAAUUGUGUUUUGCAGGAUUUGAAGAUUAUACAAUUUGGAUGACUCUUCUUUAAAAAAUUACUAAUACCAAAUUAGAUCUAGGGCCUUGGGAAGGGCCUGGAAGCAUAAGCUACAUUACCUUUAUAGCAAACCCAGCUUGGACUCAUGGAGAAGGUUGCUAAGAAACACAUACAUUGCUAGAUCAGGACAGUGGUGAUUCUGAUAAGGCUGAAUGCCCAAUUUGGAGAACUUUGUGAUCCAGAGAACAGUGAUUUGAAGGCACUUUGACAUGAAGAUGCAACACAACAGUGGAUGUGGUUUGAAGGAGGGCUUUGGCAAUCCAAACAACUGAAAGAGACAUCCUGUGUAAAUUUUAAUGAGAUAUCAAUUUUUGCCAUUCAAUUUCUCAAUUUUAAAAAAUUAUACUGCUGAGCCAGCCUCCAGCUAACUUAUACAGUACCUAUGUACCAUUUACAAAAAUAUGUCUAUUUAGGCUGACAAGGUGGAAAGACAAACCCCUUCUGGGCAGGUGGGGUGGUAUUGUAUGACAAUCUGGUGGAGCUUUCAGGCAAGCAUUUCUUUCUUUCAAAGCAUUUCUUUCUUUCUCUGUGGUGUCGCACUUGCAGGGAGCAAGGCUGGGCAAGGGAACUGCUGAGUGAAUUUCAGCCCUAAUUCAUCCUCUCAGCUAGGUACCUUUGCACAGUGUCCAAACUGUACAACCAAACAAGGCAGUCCUGUACCUACAGGUGUAGUGAUUUUAACAGCAUGACUAAAGGAACCUAAAAAUGUGCAAUCCUCUGGCCCAGAAAGUCCACUUCUUGGAAUUUAUUCUAAGAAAAUUAUCAGGGAAAAGUACAAGUACAAAUAUUUAUAUAGAACACUUCUAGAAAGUGUUUAUAUAAAGAAAAAUUGAAAACAACUUGUAUGUCCAAUAAUACAACAUGGAUAAAUUAACUUGUGACUCAGCCUAACAAUAGAAUACUGACCAUCCAUUAAAUGAAUUUUAAAUGGCAAGAGGAAAUGUUCAUGACAUAAUUAUAAAUUAAAAACCAAGAAAGGAAACUAUGCAGACUAUAAAAAUAUGUGUGUUUGUUAAAAAAGACCAGAAAACACCAAACUAUUAAUAUUAAAAGUAGUUAUCUAUGGAGCAUUAUCUGUGGAUUACAGGCAAUUUUAUUUUCUUAUUCAUAUUUUUCCAUAUUAAAAUUUUUUUACCUUGUAAAUGUCAUACUCUUACCUUUAUUGCAAACAUAUUUUAAAGUCGUAUCCAGACUUGAAGGGCAGAGACAAAAUUGGAGCAGUGAGUGAAUGUUGCCUUGACCUCAUGGGUGUAGUGUUUGCAUCUCAUUGAUUUCCACUUUGCAUCAAGUCCCAUGCCUCUGGUGGCUCGGGUGUGCCUUGCUUCAUUACCCUCUGUCCCAUAGUGAUGGAUGGUCAUCGGAGGAAUGCGAUAUCUCCCUAUGACUAUCCCUACUUUUCAAAGCCCCAGGAGUAUCUCCAUGUACUUCAGCACUAUGACAAAACAGCUUCGGGUCACUAAAGACACUUAUCCAGAAGCCACCAUAGAAGGUGAAGAUAAUGUGAGUCAGACUAGAGCAGCUAAUUGACUUAGCUAUUGACUUUCAGAUUUAUGGGACACCACUGCUGAGUAAUUAAAUUUACUGAGCUAUUUCAACAAGAUAUUAACUUUAAGUAAUCCUCACUAAACAUAAAUUGAGAGCUGGA
rnacentral:lncRNA from 10 species